UACGUAGGGUGCAAGCGUUGUCCGGAAUUAUUGGGCGUAAAGAGCUCGUAGGCGGUCUGUCGCGUCUGCUGUGAAAACUCGGGGCUUAACUCCGGGCCUGCAGUGGGUACGGGCAGACUAGAGUGCGGUAGGGGAGACUGGAAUUCCUGGUGUAGCGGUGAAAUGCGCAGAUAUCAGGAGGAACACCGGUGGCGAAGGCGGCUCACUGGUCCGGUACUGACGCUGAGGUGCGAAAGCGUGGGGAGCAAACAGG
rnacentral:rRNA from 1 species